CAGUCGCCGCGGUAAUACGAAGGGUGCAAGCGUUACUCGGAAUUACUGGGCGUAAAGCGUGCGUAGGUGGUGGUUUAAGUCCGUUGUGAAAGCCCUGGGCUCAACCUGGGAAUUGCAGUGGAUACUGGGUCACUAGAGUGUGGUAGAGGAUAGUGGAAUUUCCGGUGUAGCAGUGAAAUGCGUAGAGAUCGGAAGGAACAUCUGUGGCGAAGGCGACUAUCUGGGCCAACACUGACACUGAGGCACGAAAGCGUGGGGAGCAAACAGGAUUAGAUACCCCUGUAGUCCCUGUCUCUUAUAU
rnacentral:rRNA from 1 species